CACAGGUGCUGCAUGGCUGUCGUCAGCUCGUGUCGUGAGAUGUUCGGUUAAGUCCGCUAACGAGCGCAACCUCGCUGUGUGUUAUAUGUGUCACACGGGACUGCCGGUCUUAAGCCGGAGGAAGGUGGGGAUGAUGUCAAGUCAGCAUGGCCUUUAUUAUCCUGGGCUACACACACGCUACAAUGGCCAACACAAUAGGUUGCUAAGCCGCGAGGUGGCGCCAAUCCAUAAAGUUGGUCUCAGUUCAGAUUGUAGGCUGCAACCCGCCUGCAUGAAGUUGGAGUUGCUAGUAACCGCAGGUCAGCUAUACUGCGGUGAAUACGUUCCCGGGGAUU
rnacentral:rRNA from 1 species